GCUGGGUGUGGUGGUACACACCUGUAAUCCCAGCAGCUGGGGAGGCUGAGGCAGGAGGAUUGUGAAUUCAAAGUCACCUUCAGUAAUGGCAAGGUGCUAAGCAACUCAGUGAGAACCUGUCUCUA
rnacentral:sRNA from 1 species